rnacentral:rRNA from 1 species
CCCUUAGACGUUCUGGGCCGCACGCGCGCUACACUGACACAGGCAACGAGCUUUCCUUUACCGAAAGGUAUGGGUAAUCUUUUGAAACUGUGUCGUGCUGGGGAUAGAUCCUUGCAAUUUUUGAUCUUAAACGAGGAAUUCCUAGUAAGCGCGAGUCAUCAACUCGCGUUGAUUACGUCCCUGCCCUUUGUACACACCGCCCGUCGCUACUACCGAUUGAAUGGCUUAGUGAGGCCUCAGGAUCCGCGCUUAAUGUGUGGAGAAUUUGGACAAACUACGCCAUUUAGAGGAAGUAAAAGUCGUAACA